UGCAAAACCGGAAAACAAACACUGACAACAUGGUUGAAUGGACAGACGCAGAGAAUAGCACCAUCAGUGCUGUCUGGGGCAAAGUAGAUAUCAAUGAGAUCGGACCACUGGCUCUGGGAAGAGUCCUGAUCGUCUACCCCGGCUCUUUCGGAGAUGUGUCCACUCCCGCAGCAAUCAUGGGCAACCCCAAAAGUUGCUGCUCACGGCAGGGUCGUGUGUGGAGCUCUGGAUAAAGCUGUGAAGAACAUGGGCAACAUCUUGGCCACAUACAAGUCACUGAGCGAGACCCAC